AGCAGCCGCGGUAAUUCCAGCUCCAAUAGCGUAUAUUAAAGUCGUUGCAGUUAAAAAGCUCGUAGUUGAAUUUCGGGAUCAAUUUGCCGGUCGAGACCUCUGGUACGUACUUGUAUUAUUGAUUUCUUUCAUUCUGAUAAAUCAUUGAUGUCAUUAAUUUGAUGACUUUGAGGAAUCGGAACUUUUACUUUGAAAAAUUAGAGUGUUUAAAGCAGGCUUAUUAGGCUUGAAUACAUUAGCAUGGAAUAAUGAAAUAGGACGAUUGAUCCUAUUUUUGUUGGUUUCUAGGAUUGACGUAAUGAUUAAUAGGGAUAGUUGGGGGCAUUAGUAUUCAAUUGUCAGAGGUGAAAUUCUUGGAUUUAUUGAAGACUAACUACUGCGAAAGCAUUUGCCAAGGAUGUUUUCAUUAAUCAAGAACGAAAGUUAGGGGAUCGAAGACGAUCAGAUACC
rnacentral:rRNA from 1 species